CUUAAAUGAAAACGUGUAUUUUCCUUUUGAGCCAUCACGUUAUUUAUACACAUUUAAUGAACACACACCUCAGACGAUUGAAUUACUGUACUAUUAGAAAGCAAAAGCGUGAAUGAGUAGAGAAGAAGACAGGAGGAAAGCAGAGUGGAGGAUGAUAGAGAAGAUGAUGGGAAGCAGCGGAUGGAAGAAGGAGAGCAGGCAGCGGAAGUCGGCGGGUCGCUGCUGGUUGGUUCGGCGCCGGUGGAGGGAGUCAUUCCUGCAGCAGUGCUUCCGGUCGGCAUUUUGUUCUGCGAGAGAGAGAGUCUGUGUGGAUUCUUUUAUGAGCGCCCAGGAGCCUUUCGGCACCGAAUCCUUUCUGCCGUCGUCCGGAGUAAAGUGCGAGCUUCCGCGGACGCCUGCGCGAAGAAUGACCGUCGCCCGUCCGUCUUCAUGUUUGCAGUGAGAGGAAGCGGUGCGACCCGGAUUAUUGUUGUGAGAGGGACACAGCGAGCCCGAACCCCUCCACCUUCACCUUUCAACAACAGAGCCUCAGGACUGUGUCUCCUGCAGCCUGUCCCACUGCUUGAUGGGAAACCCUCCUAGAGGAGUGCAGGCAGUUAUAGAAGCGGGGGGGAGGGGCAACUUCAAAAUAAAGCCCAUUUGAUGAGCAGAUGCGCAUGUAGUUCUGCCCUUGCUUGGUGCCUCUUUUGUUCUGUGCAUAAUGCAUAUGGUAAGUUUAAAAUGAAGGUUUUUGAUUUAUGGCUCCAAUUUUUCUUUUAUAGAUAGUUACCUCCUUUGAUAUUUCCACGUUUUAAAUUCCAGAUUUCCAGAUGUCAGUGCUAGCCAUCAGUGUCAUGUUUAUUAAAACAUUGAGUUAUGUUGAACUAG
rnacentral:lncRNA from 12 species